UAAAAUGCCUAACAAAUCAAGGAAAAAUGCUAAAAAUGCAAAACUAGUUUUGUUAGCUUCAUCUUUUCAUGCUCUGUAUGAUAGAACCAUGAAAUGGGUGGAUUGACCACUUUUGCUAUGUAGUUUUGCUUAGGCUAGGGUAAAUGCUUUUAUAGCUUGUAGUGUUUGGAGGAAAGUUUAACCUGCUGUUGGGUUAAGGUUUCUGUGUUGCUUGAGUUAAUCAUGAUCAUGCCUGGAUAGCAAACCUUUGUGUUUAUGUGUUGCUUGCUUGUUGCCUGGUAAUGUUUCUAGUCUUGUCUUUCUUUUUAGUUGCACUGCAUGCCAUGGCAUCAUAAGCACCCUGCCUCAUUCCAGUGCACCACUGUUCUUCUAACUCUCGCAUGACAUCUUUUUCAUACGUAUAGACGCCAUGAACAAAGUAGCCUAUGAGUUGGUUGCUGAGCCGGUCCAGGAGCAACAAGCAGAAGAGCAGCAGGGCGUAGAAGCAGUUGAGCAAGCUCCAGGAGAAGUCGCUAAUCCUGCUGACCUGCAAGGUUGUGUCUCCGCUGACUUUAAGGAGAUCUGUGUGUCUUGGACUGGUCAUCCUCUUCCUCCUGGUUGGACAGUUGAGUGGGUCCUGUCAUCUCCAUGAAGUUCGGGUAGGUUGGCAGCACAUCGGUGGGCAAGAUGUGGAGCUCACCUUAUAUCGUUGUCUGUAGCUAUUGUGUUUUAAACUGAACUCUGUUUUAAAUUCUGCUGCGUGUUGAACUCUGUUGUUGUAUUUUCAAACUGAUAUGCAAAACCCAAUGUUGUAAAUUGAUUUGAGUUUUCUUGUAUGCUUGUAUCAUAUGUACUCGUCUUCGUGCGAGCCUCCCAGUGUA